AUGACACUCCCUCCGUCCGGAAAUACUUGUCGGAGAAAUGUAUCUAGACGUCUUUUAGUUUUAGAUACAUCCAUUUUUAUCCAUUUCUCCGACAAGUAUUUUCGGACGGAGGGAGUAUUAA
rfam:Triticum aestivum genome assembly, contig: Triticum_aestivum_CS42_TGACv1_scaffold_423364_5BS